GACGAACGCUGGCGGCGUGCUUAACACAUGCAAGUCGUACGGUAAGGCCCUUUCGGGGGUACACGAGUGGCGAACGGGUGAGUAACACGUGAGUAACCUGCCCACAACUUUGGGAUAACGCUAGGAAACUGGUGCUAAUACUGGAUAUGUGCUCCUGCUGCAUGGUGGGGGUUGGAAAGCUCCGGCGGUUGUGGAUGGACUCGCGGCCUAUCAGCUUGUUGGUGGGGUAGUGGCCUACCAAGGCGGCGACGGGUAGCCGGCCUGAGAGGGUGACCGGCCACAUUGGGACUGAGAUACGGCCCAGACUCCUACGGGAGGCAGCAGUGGGGAAUAUUGCACAAUGGGCACAAGCCUGAUGCAGCAACGCCGCGUGCGGGAUGACGGCCUUCGGGUUGUAAACCGCUUUCAGCAGGGACGAAGCUUUUUGUGACGGUACCUGCAGAAGAAGCACCGGCUAACUACGUG
rnacentral:rRNA from 1 species